UACGGGGGGAGCAAGCGUUGUUCGGAUUUACUGGGCGUAAAGGGCGCGUAGGCGGUCAGCACAAGUCAGUUGUGAAAUCUCCGGGCUUAACUCGGAAAGGUCAACUGAUACUGUGCGACUAGAGUGCAGUAGGGGCAACUGGAAUUCUCGGUGUAGCGGUGAAAUGCGUAGAUAUCGAGAGGAACACCUGCGGCGAAGGCGGGUUGCUGGGCUGACACUGACGCUGAUGCGCGAAAGCCAGGGGAGCGAACGGG
rnacentral:rRNA from 1 species